CCUCCCGAGUGCUUGCACUCAAUUGGAAAGAGGAGUGGCGGACGGGUGAGUAACACGUGGGUAACCUACCCAUCAGAGGGGGAUAACACUUGGAAACAGGUGCUAAUACCGCAUAACAGUUUAUGCCGCAUGGCAUAAGAGUGAAAGGCGCUUUCGGGUGUCGCUGAUGGAUGGACCCGCGGUGCAUUAGCUAGUUGGUGAGGUAACGGCUCACCAAGGCCACGAUGCAUAGCCGACCUGAGAGGGUGAUCGGCCACACUGGGACUGAGACACGGCCCAGACUCCUACGGGAGGCAGCAGUAGGGAAUCUUCGGCAAUGGACGAAAGUCUGACCGAGCAACGCCGCGUGAGUGAAGAAGGUUUUCGGAUCGUAAAACUCUGUUGUUAGAGAAGAACAAGGACGUUAGUAACUGAACGUCCCCUGACG
rnacentral:rRNA from 1 species